UUUAUUUAACCCCAGUUAGGAAAAAUAAGAAGGGUACGGAUGUAGGAUCUGGAGGGGGGGUGGGGGGGGUGUUAUGGACUUCUCAUUUCAUAUUUGUUUUCUUUUUCGGAAUUCCUAGAUUAAUAGGGUUUAAGCAGAAACAAAUUAUAUGAAACAGGUUUCAGCCUUUAUCCUAUUUCCCUUUCUCAGUCAGCGUAUGCACCAUGGUUCUCUUUCUUAUGGCUCUUGAAAAAGGCGAAUUAGAGGGCAAAAAGAUGGUCACUUUUCACAGCUUUGAACAAAGGCUUGAUCUGUUCAAAUGAAUAAUUAAACUGUGUGACUCAUGUUCUUUGCAGAAACAGCUGCUGAACAGUACCUUUUUCACAUCCACAGACACAUCCACUCAGACCUUCGUUUUUGCUCUCCUUAUCUCUGUCUGCCUCCUUUGCUCUUUCCCCUUUCAGUAUUUCUGCCUCUUCGUCAUGCUUUCUUUUAUUUUCUUUCUCUUGCCUUAUGUCUCUUUCUCCACCGCUGUUCGGAACAAUAAUCUUGGCUUUGUCACUGAAAGGCGACUGUAUUUGUUCAUAGAUGAACUCUCCUCUGGAGUUUCCUCAUCUAACAAUGGUCGGGGUCCGUGCAAUCUACUGUCUUGUUGUGCGACAGUGCUCCAAGGUAAUUAGCUGAAUAUUUCUUCAAAGGGAGCGGCUGUGCUCGGGGUGCAGGCUGAUAAAAGCAGGUGCUGCUCUGGAGAGGCCCACCUCUCUGCUGCACCAUCACUCACAUCUAAUUGGAUGGGCUGUGGAGAAAUGGCCACCAGCACUUGGCCAGGUGCACCACAGUCCACCUUCUUGCCCUAAACUGCCCCAUGCCAUGUUUGUGCAUUUGUGUAGCUCAGUGUGCUCUUGCUCAUGCGUAUAUUUGUGCCACACCUUGUGCUGUGGUGCUGUUCUCAGGUUGCUGCAGCCAAAGAAGUAGUGUUAUUCCAGAGGACCUGGUGGGAGCUCUUUGGACAGAGAAGCCUCUCUCCUGCUGACACUGUAUUACACAGCCCUUUCAAAUCACACAUAAUGUGUCAUCUAUUAUUGAUUCAGCUCCACUGAAAAAAAAAAUAGCUGCUGUGAGUUUGAAGUCUGGCGUGCCAGAUCCCUUUUUUCAAGUGUGAGUGGACAGGGCUCAUAAUCUUAAAAUUCAUCUCCCAGAUGUCCAGAAAGAAAGAUGUUCCAGAAAUAAAAAAAAAAGUGUAUUGAAAAAAAAUAUUUAAAAGUAUUGAAGGGCUUUCUGAGAUACUGAAUAUAUACUGUGAAUAAUUUAAAUCCAUAUAAAUGCCAUACCAAAUGCCAUACCUGUGUUUACUCGGGUUAAUUUCUGGAUUCACUUAUUCAUUUAGAAUAUUUGUUUAUUGGCUUUAUGAUUUGUUGAAUAUUCAUGACAUUCUUUGAGGACGAUCUCUCUGUCAUGAUGUCAGAUAGUGGAAGUGAUUACCAUGGGGCUUGGAGCAGUGGUCAGGUGGGGAUUUAAGAGGUAAGACUGAGAUUCACUGACCUGGUGAGUCUAGCUUCCCUCUCUAGCUUCCCUGCUGACUGUAAUCGAUGGUAUUAACAUGUUUCCUGACUUCUUUCUCUCUCCUUCGCUCACUCCCUGCUCAGGCUCUUUCUUCCUUUUUUCUUCAGUCAGAUCCAGCUCCAGGCACCAAUCAAUAACUAUAAUCUGUUCUUACCCAUCGCCAGUCAUGCAAGCUCCAGCUUUUAGCGCUCAUCAUAAGGAGUGAGAAGGAGGAGGGCUAUUACUAAAUAGUAGUACCUUUUCUUGAUGCUUUCUUUAUUGCUAAUCUCGACAUUAAUCAGUUAUAAGGAGGUUCAUGAUGUACUUGGCAGGUCUUAGUUUUUACCUACCGGUGGGUAUUUAUGAUCAUUUUUAGAGCUUUGCACAUUUUCCUUUUCAUAAAUAUGAGUACUUUUUUGGGGUCAGAAAUGAUAUAGGAAUGAUCUAAUGCUAUUCUACUGCCUGACAGAAAUCUGUUCUGCAGGGGUUAAGUAAAUAUUUCAAUUGUUCUCUACCAUAUCAAAUGUACAAUACUCUGUGGAGUUUGGUUUUAGUGCCUAUAGGUAGAAUGUCUAAGGCAGGCCUGUGUGAGUUAAGAGUCCAGUGCCCCCACCCAGUCACAGUGUGGUGACUCUAAUCCCAUUUUCACUCCAGUACACUGGCUUCUCUCCCCCUCCUGCCUGCCUCCCUGCUCCUCCUAACUCACCAGCUGUUCCCAGAGGCUCCUUACAAUAUCAAAUGUGUUCAGAUUCCCCAUAACCCAACACAGCCCCCUCCAAUCCCCUUCUCACUUUUUCUCCCACUCUUUUUUUUUUUUUUUCAUUUAUCCUUAAAACAACCUUAGUGCACAUUCAUAUACUUUGCCCCUGCUAUUCUCUCAACAAGAGGGUCUAUACGUUCGGUUUUAGGUUGAUGACCUCUCAAGCACACACACACACACACACACACACACACACACACACACACACACACACACACACACACACACACAUGCAUAUUCUUAAGAAGUGGGUGGCUCUCAUCCACAGGGCUGUCAUGCCCAGCCCUGACUAGAGAGUCAUUCAGCCCCAUAUGGCAUAUGGCGAAUAGCUGCUGCUUCAUAUGAAAUGCACAAGUAUUCUUCCCUCCCUCUGUUCUCUCUCACACUCCUCUAAUGCUGAAUGACUCAUAGCAUUAUUGCUCCCCCUCUCUCUCUCUCUCUCUCUCUCUCUCUCUCUCUCUCUCUCUAUCUAUCUAUCUAUCUAUCUAUCUAUCUCUAUCUAUCUAUCCCUCUAAAACUCUCCUUCUGCUCAUGAGGCCUGGAACAAUGUCUCUCUCUCUUUCACACACACACACACGCACAUAAACAAAGGUGGAGAUCAACUUUGUAAACUACGUGACUGGUAUGUGGCAAUGGAUACAAUGGAGCGGUGUUUGUUCGUACCACUCUUCAUCUUGAUCAAAUACUGGCCUUCAUUGCCACUCAUCACAAUCGUUUAACAGUAUAGUACGUUUGUAGUUAUUCUAAUACUGACCGCAUCCUCAGCAGAUACAAGUGAUUCUUCCUACCCACUGUGGUACACAGUCCUAGACUGUGCCUUUAAAUAUCAGCCCCACCCAACCCUCCUGCCCCUCCCUCAAAAGUAGUGAACUCCAGUAGGCGUUUGUGCCUGACAGCUGUCUGUGUUCUGGCAGGGUUGUGAGGGGGUGGUGUGGCUAGUUCUGGGUGAGAUCCUCUAGUAUGGGGAAUUCUGUGGACAUGAAGGGGUAGAGUUACCUUGAACUCACUCCAUUAUUACUGCUCCCUCAGGAGUAGCACACAGGCGAGCUGGGUAAACGUUACUUAAUCACCUCUUAAGCAUGAAGGAUGAGUCUGUUAAUUCACACUUGCCUCAGUUCGAGUGUGUACUUUGGAGGGGAAUAAUUGUGUUGUUGUUAUUAUUAUUCUAUAAUGUGAUAUUUUUUAUGUAAUAAGAGAAUAACAAACUACAUUCUCUAAUAAUACGCUUUUACUCUGAAAAAACAACAUCCCUGUGGUUAAUAUAAUACUUCACAGCCAGUCAUGUCGAGAGCGUGAGCAUGAACCUUGUGCUUGUUUUAGCUGAGUGAGCUAGGUGACCGUUUAGGAGCCAAGUUAAUUGUGAUUGAUGGUAAAGCAGGCGAAGGGGGAGUGUUAAACCUUCUUGUCUUCUCCGAGUAAUUAGCAUCCAGCUAGUCGUUCCAUCUGUCUGGCCAAGCUUUCUUUAAUUAAUGAACUUUCUUUCUCCUCCCUGCCAGACUGCUAACACAGGGAUAUAGCUGUUAGUCUUCUCAGGUUAUCCAAAUGGAUGUUCCUUUGUGGUCUUUUUCCCAUGAAUACAACGGAGGUCCUCAUUGAUUAGAUUUCUAUGAGAUUUCUCGGGUCUGUCUUUAUGUGUUGCUGCUUAAACACAGUGAUAAUGAGCAAAUUCCGGCAAGCUUCAGUAUUUGAGUGUAGGUGUGCUUGGAAGUGUGAGAUGAUGUUUGAGUGUGAUUGUGGUUGUAAACGUAUGACUGGCACUAUGGUUUUGGUUUGUUCUGUUUUGUUUCUUUCUUAUCAGGAUGAAAUUACUUGCAGCAUCAACACUAUCCUCAAUGUGAUACUCAUUCCAAAAAAAAUGCGUCCUUAGAAACCUCUAGUGUCUCUAGGCGUAUGUGUGUGUGUGCGCUCUCCUUCUCUUUCUCUGAUUUUCCUCUUGCUAAUCGGCCUGGUCAAUUCACGACUGGCCCGUGUUUAAGCACAUUUCCUAUUCUGUGGAUUCCUUUGUCUGAGGCUUGUGCUGAUAAGAAUCCUGCCUCUAGGGCUCUUGUGAUAUUGAAAUUCUCCAAUGCUGAGAAAGAGCCUUCAAUCAUUCAUUAUCAGUUCCACACUGAUUACUAUUCAGUCUCCUCGGUUCCAGGCAGGCGUCUGCACUCUGUCCCACCAGGCUGGGCCUGAAUAGAGCACAGCACUGCUAGCUUAUCCUUGCUUAUCCUACACAUAUCCAAUUCUUUCGCUAAAUGUCACAAAAAUGUCAGCUGCCAUGUAAAAGGUAUUAUGUUCUGUUUUUUCUCUAAUCACAUUUUUUUUAUAUUACGACCUGGAAGACCGCUCUGUGUAUUUUGAAGAUGUGAUUACGUUUCUCAUUUAUAUAAUUCAUACAAAUUGUUUUUGUUUUUAUUUAGCUAUUCUUUUAUUCAGUGUUAUGCAACAUUGUCCUAAUUAGGCCGGCAAGUCAAAGCAAGGCCCUUAACCCUCAAUUGUUCAGUUGUAUUAAAAAAAAAAAGAUAACAUAAGUCGCAUUCGAUAAGGGUGUCGUGCUAGAAAUGUAAAUGUAAAUCAAAGGUUUAUAUUUUUAUAGAAUAAUUAAAAGAUUAAUUGGUACACUUUGGAUUUUCUCAUCAGGAUCUUCUCAUUUUCAUUAGUCUCAUUUGGACUAAGCAGAUUAUUCGAUUGCAAGCACAGUUCUUUGAGCGCUGUUUGUUUAAAGACCGUGGCUCACUCAGUUUCUCAUUACUGACAAUCUUAAAAGAGGAGGGUUUAGUUGAUUAUUUAUAAGUUCUGCAUUAAUGCCACUUUAUAUAGUUCAAAGGCAGCGAUGGCUCCUCCACACGCUGGACAUAAUUGUAUUAUGCUAAAAGAUGUCCUUAUGUUCACCAUUUGCAUCUUUGUACAAAAUGGAGUCCUCUGCAUUGAAAGAUAAACAAAACAACAGCAGAAAACAAGAGCACAACAUAAAAGUGUGUAUCAUGCUUUUGUCCAGCCCUUCUCAACACCAGAGGUGGUCUUUGAUGUGGAAAUGGAGUUUCUUUACAUUCUGAAGUAGAACACUGCAGUAGGUUGCUUAAGAGAUACAAUGGAGGCCUAGACUGCAAUGCAUCAUUGAUUUGCUUGGAGUUUUGUUGUGUUUCUGUUGAGUUAACUACACACUGGGGUGUAAAGGCAUGAAGAGAAACACAGCCGGUGUUCUUACUCGUGCCAUAAACCAUGUGUGAAAAUAAUUGGGUACUACAUUAUUCAUAUAUUUAUUAUUAUUUACAAAGCAUUUCCUCUCUGUCACAGACAUCGACAGGAACAUCUUAGAACUUUUUGUAAACAAUUGGUGGCCAGUAGUAAAGGCUUUCUUUAGUUUCUUUCAUUGGACUGCAAGGUGUGCGAUUUGUUUCUGAAAUAAAGCACUUAGCAUCUCAUUUCACUGUGCACAUCUUUGCAACAAACAGUGCAUAUAGCCCCUAAUUAGUAUUGAGAGACCCUACAAAUCUAUAGCCAUUGUUAUUCAGAUUGUGUUAUUCAUGCUCAGUGCACAGAGCCCCAAGCAGAGGAUACCAUAGGCUUUGUUAGAAUUUUCAGAAUAUAAAGCAGUAGCCCCCUCUUAUUUUUGUUUCCGAUCUCAAAAGCUCUUCGUCCCUCCAGCACAGGCCGAGAAUCUUUCCUCUUCUAACUGUGUUUGUCCUCGCAUUUCCCGUCGACAAAAAAUGUAUCAUUUAUCCAGCAUCCCAGAUGACCUAAAACUUCUAUAAAAAAAACUAUAUUCAUUCUUUUUCAGUGUUGUACAUUAUUGCAGAUAAAAAGUGGAGUGAAUUUUAUAGCUCAGGGGCGGAGCUCUACAAGUCUUCAUAUGGUCUGUCCUGAGUUGAAUUAAGGCUUUGUUCAAAAUGGUGUAUUUUGUUGACAAGUAUAGCAACAUUUUCCAGUUAUCAGCUGUCUUUAACAAGAAGUUGUAAAAGUUCAUUGUCUUGUCCCAUUUAAAACCUUGUCAAUAGCGGCUAACUAAAUGAGCUCCAUGCAGGCAUACUUGUUCUGAGCAGGCUCUUGAUUAACCCUAGAGUGACUGGCUAAUGUCACUGAAGGAGGACCACCUGGUGGGGAGGGGGGCUGUACAGUCAGCUGCCGCUGAAAGCCACUGAAUGCCUUGGACCAGGUGCCAGCUUCCACAGUCUAGCUAAUUGUUGCCGUGUAAUAGUGCGCUUGAUUGCACAGAAUGCCUCAAGGCGAGGAUUAAGGAAGAAAAGAAGAUGAAGGGGAAGAAAAGCUGUUGCCAAACCAGAAUCUGUGUCCUAGAUCCCUGGUUUUGCGUGUGAAGCAGCUGCACUGUGAAUGAGUGGAGCUGUCCACAGCACCAUGCCCCAGAUGGAUGCUGGUGAGGUGAGAUGUAAAGGACGUCCCCCUCGAGGUUCAAUUAACCUGUCUUUACCCUCACCCCUCCCCUGCACCUUCAGCCUCUCAGCUCUGGGCUUAAUUAGGUCCAAUGGCGUGACAACAGGUAGCCUUGCAGCAGUGGCCCAGAAAUUCACCAAUCAACACCUGCUGUCCCAUGGGCUCAUGUAGCUGACAGAAAACGGCAUAUAGUCCAAUACUGGGGACAUAAUACCUCUCUCUUCCAUGUUUCCUAUCUUCUUCUGACUUCCCUCACCCCACUGUUUUAACCAUUCUCCGCCCAUAAAAGUGAAAUAUGUGUGAUACACAAACUAAAUUAGGAUUUAGAACAGAAGAAGUUUACUUGCUUUUUCAGUAAUAAUUCAUAUGUAUAAGUUUUCAACAAUUCAAUAUUUAUUUCUAUUAUAGAGGGGCCAGAAUUUAAUGUUUAUCCAUAACAUUAAGGAUUUUCAGCCCCUUGUGAUAUGAGAGACACCCGAAAACAAUUUUCUGGUAUUUCAGAAAAAAAUAUGGAUUUAAAAAAUAUAUAGUAAAAUUUAUAUUUCCAGUGGAAAAGCUAAUUCAGUUAUUGCUGAAAAGAUGUGGGACAUGAAUGAUAAUGUUUUUGGUAGUGGUAUUACUUUUGCUUCAUGACUGGAUUGAGGUGAACUUUGACCUCUGAAUUUGUGAACCUCGGUUUUGUGAGCCAGUAGCAAACAAGAGGGCGGAUUGUUGUCACUAGUCAGAAGAAGAAUAGUGCUGUUAUUCUUUUCUGCCGUUAACGUGGAGCCACCUUGUCCGCUGACAUUCUCAAGUUUUUGCAGUAAAAUACUUUUUUCUGUCUUUCUAUUAUUCUGUUGAUUACUAUCCAAUAACGGUGGUUAUUCUUUUGCAGCUGUUUAGGGUAGUUAAGAUGUAGUGACUGUUUAAUUGAUUUGCUGCAGAAUUUUUUUGUGGGAUUGCACCUUUUUGUGCACUGAAAUUCAAAAUUUUAGAAACUGAGAGUAUAUGGAAUAAUCUUGCCUAGACGGUAAUUCACAAGCACCCCCUAGACCCCAUCUCUCGACUGGCCAAUUAUCCUCUUCCUUAGCCGGACAGCAAGGUCAUUGUGAUUGGCUGAGGUUAAUGGCUGGUGCUUGGUUAGAGUGGAGGUCGAGCAUGCGUAGCCACUCUCUACUUCUUCAACUUGUCACUCUUCACACAAGAGCCCAUUUAGUCACUACCAGGGAGAAGGAAAAGGAAAUGUGUUGUUAACCUUGGCUUUGCUCAUGAUAAUGACUUUAAAAAAGUGAAGGAUUUCCUUGUCUUUCUUUACUCAAUAACUGCCUAAUGUAGCAUUAAAAAUACUUAUCGUGCUGAUGUGUCAUUUAGAAAUCCUUUCAGUUAAAUCAUCUAGUUUAUCUAAUAGAAAGUGCAUGUUAUUUUAGGGUUUAUCCAGGCUGUCAAUGGUUUCAACUCAUACAGCCACAGAAGCUCAUGUCUGGAUUCUCUACACCGAGUUUUGGCUACAUCUACUGCUUCAUUACUAAAAAUACACUUGUUACAAAUUACAGAAUCUUCAGGUUUUUAUUGGGGUUCAUAUGUUAGCAAGUAAGUUGUUUAUGAUGGUAGUUAUUCACAAUAUUUUGACAAGGUAGUUCCACCCAAAAUGAAAAUUGUCCAGAAAUCCAAAUGAUGUGCAUAUCACAUCACACUGAUGCAUUACCACAAGCCUUUUGGUAUUUAACCUGCUUUGUAACUUUUAUCAUAUUUGCUGGUUUCAUGUUCAGGUCCUUACUCAGAUUUUUUGCUCCCACCUUCAUUAAGCUUCAUGUUAAAUACAUUUGCAGAGAACACUGAUGGUUUUCACACUUUUAAGCGGUCUCCUCAUUCAAAUUAGUUCCCUAUGAGGAUGUAAUAAAAUUAGUUUUAGAAUAUUCAGAUCUGAUACCAGCCAAGCAUUUUCUAAAUAAAGGACUUUUUCAAAAGAUAAUUUCCAUAAAAAAAAUCCUAUAUUUGUCCAAAUGUUUCACAGGAUGCUGAUCUUGAUUGUAAUUGAAUGGUACUCUGUAUUCUUCAGUUAGGCUAUACAUUUAACUCUCUUUUCUGUUGUAUUUGUGGUCAUAACCUUUUUUUAUGCAUGUGUCUUAAUGGCAGAUUUAUGUGCAGUGUGUAACUGGCGUUGUGACCUUGUGUCGAUGAGGUUGUACCCAGGCCCUGGACUCCUGUUUAGGGAGUUCUUUUGUUGAAUAGUCUGACAGUGGACCAAAAGGGAGGAGUAUGAGGGUGGGGUGGCCUCUGAAGUCCCAGGGGUUGCUGGGGCCUGAGUGGACUGCUAAUGAGAGGCCAUCUGAGUCCCCAUGCACCUUGAACAUGGCCACCACUGCCACCUGACCUUGGCUUUGAUCCGCCAAACUGAUUGACCUCUCAAUUCCCCACUGACCACCCCUGACCAUCUGGACAACACUAUGCAGUCCCAGACCUGUGUAUUCGUCAUGCUUUCUCACACACAUGCACACCAAAACACACAUCGAUAAAUGGCUUUACAUGUCAGAAAUCAUCCUUAUCGUUUUCUUAUUACAUUUAAUUUAUUCAGAUGUUUUGAAUAUCAGGUUUUCUCUAUGUUGCCUGUAGUGAGCUGAUUCCAUGCCAUUAGCUGAAUAAUUUAACCAGAAUAGUUGAGCUUGUUUAUGCUCCUCUCUGAAUGCUGGAUGAGUCAGUGUUGUUCCCCAGACUUCUGCUUUAUCCAACUCUUAAUGCCCUGCUUUGUCACCUGGUGCACCAUAGGGUGGCAAAGGAGCCACCAAGAGUAGGAAAAUAGCAUUAUCUGUUAAAGCCCUUCAGCAAAAUGCUUAGAGGAUGUUUUUCUCCAUUAAGUGGAUUUAAGCUGUCUGUUUCUCUUUCUCUACUAUAGCAGUGCCAUUGUGUUUCCUUUCUGUCUUUCUUUCUUCCCCCUCAUUUCCCAUCUCCCCACAGGUUGACCUGUGCGCCAGUGAGGUCAUCACAUUAUUUUACAUGGCAGGGUGGUUUUAAAUCUGUGCUUCUAUCACUGUAGCCACACUGCUCUAUGCUUCUUACAAAUGUUUUUCAUUUUCCGCCUUUAGAACAUUUUUUUAUACAGUCUACAGAGAGACACUGGAGCAAUGAAUGCUUUUGGAAAUUCCCUCUUCACACAUUGCUUAGUUACCAACUAAAUGCGUUUUUCCAUCCCAGGUGUUUAAAGGAUGACUUGGAUUACAGUUCGCUGGAAAAUUCCAAACCUUCUGUGAUGUUAAGUCCUGCUGAAUAUAUAUUAACUGCUAUGUAAAGCCAAAAAAAAAGUUACAUUUUCCUGCAUGCUUCAUUUUUUUUGUAUUUUAGUGUGCUGGUCUUCAUAGCGUUAUUUGGGUAGGAUGCUGACAUCUGCUGCUGCUGGUUUCUGAGUUACUGGUAGCCUCCCACACAGAUAGCAUCAGAUCAGGUUUACUGAUGGUUGCUCUCUAGCCCACAUCCACUUUAUUGAAUUAAUGCACAUAGCCAACAUUCACUUCUCCGUAACGCAUCUAUUCAACAGAACAGGCUGUACCCAGUGCACAACAAUUAGAGUGAUUGAGUGUCUAGGCGGGAGUGAGGGAAGAUGAGAUAGAAUGACGCAAAAAUUCCAACCCCCAUGUCCACCGGUUACAGAAUGGUUUUGAUAACAUACCACCAAAAAUACGUUCCUAACGAAAUAUCGGUAACCAGUCUUGCCUGUUGACCUGUUUUUGCGCUUUUCACCUGUUCAGCUUUUGAGUUUUUAUGAUGUACAUGCUUGUUAUUGAUUGUCCCUUUUUUGCGUCCUCUAUGUCUCUUUCACACCCUUUUGCGUCUCUUCAUCUCUGAAAUGCGGGGGAGUACACAGGAAGCAGAGUGCAGGCUGGAGGCUGCGGCCAGUGGUGGUUCAGCCUCGAGUCAAUAUUUGUUUUAGGAAUCUCAAUAGCAGAGACACACUUGUGUCAUCUGCAUAGCCCAUAAUGGAGUGCCAUAUGGCUGUGUUGACCUAGUGAGAUCAGGGUUAUUAUCCCUCACCCUUAUUCCUGUUCUCAUAUCCAUUUUCUUUUUCCCUAGUAUUUCUUUCACUGUUUUGUUUCUUGCAUGCAUAGCUGUUUUGUCAUUUUACUUAAUUCUCGGAUGUACCACCAUGAGCCUAAAAUUUGCUUGGCCAAUAUUCUCGCCAUUUUGGAGAAUGUCUUCUUCCCCUUCCUCCCCCCAGAAAUCCCAUGAAUUGACCUGUAACUGUACUAAGACCCAUGUUGCCAUAGCAGCUAAGUGAAUGAGGUUUUCGAAGUCAGAAAUUGUAUGUCUGCAGACAAGAGUCAAGUACACAACUGUUUUCUUUCUAAGACUCGGCAGGUAAUGAUCAUGCUGCUUUGUAUUGUUCCAAGCUAAUGUUGUAUGUGGUUUUGUCUGAAUUGUCUGACAAGCCUACUGGUGGUGUUUUUUUUUUGUUUGUUUUUUUGUUUUUUAAUAAUUUAUUUUAUUGCAACUGCCCUCUUUGUGACUUUGGGGUGAUGGAAGGAUGAAGAGAGAAAGAGAGCAGGACCAGAGCUCUCCCUGUACACAGCCCUCAGGCUCAGGUGCUUGUCAGUGCUGGGUUCAGAGGGACCUUUUCAACAAUUUGUCAUGGCUUUCUAAGCUCCUGCUGCGCCGGCACGUGGCACACACACACAGUCACACACUCACUCACAUACUCGGAGGGGUAUGUGACAAGCAGCAUGGUCAUGAUGAAGUGCAGGGGCUUGGCAACAGUCUAGUUCCUGGCAGCAUAAGCAGCCUCCCUAAUGAGUUGGGAAUGGCAUCAGUGGGGUCCUUCACAAAUUCAGCAGGCAGGCGUGUAGACAGCCCGGCUUCCACUCCAGCCCAGUCAUUAGAGUAGAGUCAUCAGCAUCUCUGCUUGCAGACACACAAACAAGCACACAUGGUAUUCAUUAUUUGUGCUUGCUUUUUUCACACUUAUUCGUACCUUUCAGUUAUGACACAUAAAACACACAGCUUCUUGUAGUGCACAGUGGCAUAAAUCAUUACUUGACACAAUUGUUUGUAUAAAAGCUGAGUGCAUGUUGGAGGAAAACGCACAUCGAGGCCCUGCAGAAACACCUGCUCCUUCGUGUAUAUGGACUUUUAACUGCAAAUGUAGACACUCGCCUCAUAUUUAGAAUGACUCGUAAGCCAGUGGCUUUGAUAGCACAAUUAAAUUUUGUUAGUAGAAUGUUUAUCUUUCUUGCUGUUUUUAAAUCAUCGUUUCUCCUUGUUUCAUCAAAUUUUUGUGCCAUAGUUUAAACUAUUGACCGAUAUGGCUGUGAAACUUUGUAUGCACAUGCUCAGAUAGGCUACAGUCAAAAUACACAGUACAUGUUGACUACAUUGAAAUUCUUUUUUUCCCCAUAUCUGUUUUUCCCCCCACUUUUCUGCCGCAACUGGAUUGUUACCAUUCUCAUUGUAUGUGCCACUUAGAGAUUCUAAAAUCUGAAGAUUUCGAAAUAAAAAUAGGAAUGUUGGAGAGAAGGGAGCAAAAUCCAACUUUGUCACAGGUGAAGCUUAAACAACUUUUCAACAAAUUUGAUAAUUAAAUCAUUUCAGAAACUGUGCAAUAAUUAAAAUAUUAGAUUUUUUUUUUUUUACUAAUAAACCUAUUAGUAAACCUACCUAAUUUCCAUAAUCUUUUUUCAUACCAAGACAAUGUGGUCUAAACGGCAUGAUCCCUAGCAUGCCUUAAGACAUUCAAGUUGUUAAUAUUUCACUAUAGCAACUGCAGCUACAUCCUGAAAACAUGGGACAAAAUGAAUUCACGUGAAAGCAUCUGUAGUAUGUUACAUUAAAAAAAAGAAAAAACAUAUCUGUAAAGGAGUAUUGACUCUUGUGAAACUAUGAAGCAGAUCAUAUGAUUACAACAAUCACCUCUAAUUUAAGGUAAGAUUCAUAUAGUGCUCAGAUGGACUAGCUGGCAUUGUUAAAAUAAUACAUUCGAAUGGAGUAAAAUGAAGUGUGCCUGAUCACCGUCUGGACCAGGCGUUUACUGAGAUUUGAGAGGAACAGCUUAAAGGAAAGCUGUAAGUACAUGUUUAUGAUUUAUCCCCCUUCUGGGUGCUAGUGACAAAUAUCCUUUGAUGAGCUGAUAAAACUUCAUUAAUUAAAGAACAGGCGGCCAGUACAGUGUGACUAAAUAAACAUCUAUCAGCAUCAGUAAUUUGUUACAAUCUGCUGCAAAUAAGCUCAUUGUUUAAAAGAGCAGAUUAAGUUUACAUUUUGAGCUCUUUAUUUUAAGAUAAUGAGGAGAUUAUAAGAAGAAGAAGCUUCUAUGUGAUUUUGUAUUCUGCUAGGUUUCUUUUAAGGAUUCAUUCAAAUAAAUUCUAAACUUUUUCUUAUCCAUAAUGAAUAUUGUACUAUUCUCUUUUGUUCAGCAGAAUGUUUGUAAGCCACAGCAAUUGAACUUUAUAUCUAUGACUCGGUCUUUGAAACCUUAUUUAGUAGGUACACAUUUUGUCUUAGCAGGUAUGCAUAUAUAGGUCCUGCUACUGUAUGUUGUUUUUACCAAAUAACACUACAUUGGUGGAGUUUGUAGUCCUUAUAUAUUUUGCUCUUUCUGUCAUUGGACUUGUUUUCCCUAACACACACAC